UUGAACGCUGGCGGUAUGCUUAACACAUGCAAGUCGAACGGCAGCACGAGAAAGCUUGCUUUCUGGUGGCGAGUGGCGGACGGGUGAGUAAUGCAUAGGAAUCUACCUCGAAGCGGGGGAUAACCCGGGGAAACUCGGGCUAAUACCGCAUAAUCUCUACGGAGGAAAGCAGGGGAUCUUCGGACCUUGCACUUUGAGAUGAGCCUAUGUCAGAUUAGCUAGUUGGUAGGGUAAAGGCCUACCAAGGCAAUGAUCUGUAGCUGGUCUGAGAGGAUGACCAGCCACACUGGGACUGAGACACGGCCCAGACUCCUACGGGAGGCAGCAGUGGGGAAUAUUGCGCAAUGGGCGAAAGCCUGACGCAGCGACGCCGCGUGGGUGAUGAAGGCCUUCGGGUCGUAAAGCCCUGUCGCAGGGGAAGAAUAAGCAUCGGUAUAAUACGCCGGUGCCCUGACGGUACCCUGCAAGAAAGCACCGGCUAACUCUGUG
rnacentral:rRNA from 1 species